UCAAUCAAGCAUCCAUCAUAUCAGAGAUCUCCAUGGACAAGCACAAGAGUCACACACGUGCACCAGCCUUGCUGCUCUCUUUGCUGUUUCUCGCGUGUUCUCCCCUUCAUGCGCAAUGCCGCAUCAUCGAGGGCAUGGACGACGACAAGAUCAAUAUACCGGGCGGACUCUGCGUCCAUCAUAAAGAUUGCGCACCGGGUAAUUGUUGCUUCUGGUGCCUAGUGCUCGAUCUGUGCUAUGCCACAAUGGCCGAGUGCAAUACAGAGUGCAAAGGCCACAUCGAUGCGCGCCUCUUUAACCUUCCGUCGCCUUCAAAUUGAGUUCCUUCCUUUUGAACCGGCAACCAUUGGAGCAAAGACUUGUAGUUUAAUCUGUUGUAUUCUUUCGAAGCCGCCGGUAGUUGUUCUAAUAAUAAGAAGAAGAAUAUAUAUCUCAACGAUUUGUUUCAAUUUCUUAUUAGGGAAAUCUCUAAUUAUCAAGUUUGUUUGUUGUUCA